AUACAUGGACAAAAAUUUACUAUAACAUGAUACAUACGCCACUUUUCUUUAAAACACUUUUAUCAUUGUGAUGUACUUUUGGUUCAUACUUUUUUGUAUUUAGGGUUAAGUUGAAAUUUAAGUCUAUAUAUUUAUCUAGAUUUACAGAACAAUGAAUAUGAAGUGUCUUCUUUUAGUAAGUUCUAAACAUUUUCUUCUAUUAAAGUCACUUUUAUUAUUUAUUUAGUUAUUUAAAUAACUUCUUUAUCCAGGUACAUGGUUGAUGAACGUUGCUGCUUCCCUGUUAAGAAAAAUCCACAUAAUUAACCCGGUUCCAAUUGAGUUACCCGGUAAUUAAAUUUACAUUACCGAACAACUAAUUCAUGUUUAAUUUUAUAAUAUGGUUGACGCACAAAAAAAUAAACAAAAAUUUUUCUGUUUUUUUUUUUGUUUGUUUUUUCUUACAGUCUUACAGUCUUUUACCUUUUUUUGUGCGUUGUUUUUUUUUUCAUGAUACUCAAUGUUAAUUGGCGUAAGAAUUUCUACUUCUUUUCCGCAUUAAUUUCAUUUUUGAAAGACAAGAAUGAAAGGCAAAAGUUUAGUUUACAACCGAAUUAAAAGUAAAUGAGUACACCAGCUCAAAAAGAUUUUUGGAAAACACAAUAUUAGAAAUAGAAGAUAAAAGAAGGUAGAGAUAUAAAUUGUAGAGUUGAUUUUUUUGUGUAAAUACUUAUCGUAAGGUUAAAGUAUAAUCCGAUUUCAUGCUCUUUAAGUUGAAAAAUAAGAACGUAGAGUUCUAUCGUUUAUAAACUAUAAGAAAAGCAUUACAUUUUGAACUAAUGUUUAAUGUUCUAAACUAUUUCAUUUAUUGUAUCAUUAUUCUUUUUUAUAGAUCAAAAUGGUUAGGAGUAGGUAAGAAACGAGGCACGGCAACCAGAACCACAGAGUGCGUGUCAGCAAGGCAAUCUAUGUCUGUUCCGAUGAAGUUUGUACUCCCACAAUAAGGCAAGAGGUCUCCACGGUCAUCCCGUGUUAAUGUGGGAUUCACAGCUGGCAGAAAAAGCAAAGAACUGGGCAAUAUACCUUGUUGAGAAUGAGUGUUUCGACCAUGAGCAUGACAGUUCAUAUGGCGAAAACUUGUACGAAAUAUAUUCGCCAGAAAGGCAUCGUGUUUACAAUGCAGUUUUUGAGCAAUAUAAAAAAAUUAAAGAUUACGAUUUUAAUAAUCCCGAACGGUACGAAAAAGAUUGUCCAGAAUUUUGCGACAUUGGUCAUUUCUCCUAAAUAGUAUGGAAGGAAACCACCAAGGUUGGAUGUUGCGUCGCUUUUGACAAAGUCGCAUAGGACAGUGAUUGUGACUAAAUUUUCCCCUGGACAGGGAUAUGGAUUUACGGAGCAAGAUCCGCACACUUGUAAGUUCUUUAUACAGCGUAUGCGGUAGUAAAUAAUAAAAAUAUCUUACUGGAUAUUUCCACCUGUCUUUGUUCAUGUUGUGUUUCCUAUGUAGACCAUCCAAAGAUUCCAUCAAGUGUUGAAGAGUUCAUUUCAUGCUAUGAUGUGACGCCAACGAUGAAAAGAGUGGACGAUUAUAUGCGUUAAGGAAGUGUGUGAACGCUAAUACUUUUGAAAACUAUAUUAAAAAUUCUUAAAAAAAAGUUAUAUAUGUGUAUUAAACAAGUAACCGUUCUUAACUAAUACAUGUAUAUCUAUUUACCAAAUCUAGUAUGUAUUCAGAGCAUUAAAAUUAUUCUGCUGACACAACAACAUUUUAAACUGCAUAUCCACUAGAGGCGGUAGAACAAAUGUAAUGGUUUUUUGAAAAAAAAGAAUCUGAUAGAGAUAUGCUUCUUUUUUUUAAUCCUGCAUAAUUUUUUUGUUCAAUUUAUACUCGUGUGUUUAUUCUAUUUUUGUCCUAUUACGUUGCUUAACGUACAAUUUUGUAAAAGACCAUAACAUUAAAUUAUAGCAUAAGGUUACACUGUUCUGUUGUAACAUAUUAUUAAAUCAGUGUUUACAGUCAAAACGCGUGACAUUAUAUUAAAAUAUAUGUUCUUUGCUACUUGCUGGGGCCAUCUUAGAAUUUUUUCCCUCGUACUUUAAAGGUUUUGUCCAAUUUUUGUACCUUACUACUUUAUAAAAUCUGUAUCAAAUUGUGUCAAAUAUGGCCGCAUCGAUACUUGAUAUUAUAACCAAUCUUGGCUAUAUUAAAAGCAUACUAGUCGGUGCCACGUGGAUCAAUCCACGUGUUCCCUCUAUUUAUGUCCUUUAUUUACCGCAUUUCGUGUAUUUUGCUUUCGU